UACGGAGGGUGCAAGCGUUAAUCGGAAUUACUGGGCGUAAAGCGCACGCAGGCGGUCUGUCAAGUCGGAUGUGAAAUCCCCGGGCUCAACCUGGGAACUGCAUUCGAAACUGGCAGGCUAGAGUCUUGUAGAGGGGGGUAGAAUUCCAGGUGUAGCGGUGAAAUGCGUAGAGAUCUGGAGGAAGACCGGUGGCGAAGGCGGCCCCCUGGACAAAGACUGACGCUCAGGUGCGAAAGCGUGGGGAGCAAACAGGAUUAGGUACCCUGGUCGUCCACGCCGUAAACGAUGUCGAUUUGGAGGUUGUGCCCUUGAGGCGUGGCUUCCGGAGCUAACGCGUUAAGUCGUCCGCCUGGGGAGUACGGCCGCAAGGUUGAA
rnacentral:rRNA from 1 species